rnacentral:lncRNA from 1 species
UUGUUUCUGCAUGCAAUAUUAGACCGUGUUUUAACUGAGGGCAUUGCGAGGACAUUGUGAGUAUGUUUCCUGAUACAUGCAGUGCUCGACUGCUCGUUGCACUAUAGAUUUAUUUUAUGCUGCACUACUCCGUGCACUGUUUACGUGAUCCGUUGAAUCAGUUACAUUUUUUCAUUACUUUAUUUAAUCAGUUAUAUUCUUCAGACAUCUUUAAUACUUGUCUUUAUAUCUGUCACUUGCUGUGUUUAAGACCUGUUCACUUAGCUAUUUGAAAUUAGUUCAGUUUAAUUCUUCUCUAUAUCAAGCAUUGUGUGGGUGAUAUGUUUAUUAUAGGUGUGUGCAUCUUUGUACUAAAAUUUUGUUAAGAAUGAGAUAAUUACUUGGUUAUGUAAGAUGUUUAGUUGAUUGGUAGAUUUUUCUCAUUCUUUUUGCAAUGUGUGCCAAGUGUGGAUGUUGGUUGGAAACUUAAUAUAGUAUGGUGAGGAGUGAAACAAGGCAUCUGUGGCAGCUAAGUUUUGCUUAAUGGGAGAUGACCUUAUCUGUCUAUCAUGGAACCAUAUUUAGACUUUUAUCAAAGAAGCAAAAAAUGAAACCAUGUUUUAGAGUAAUCUAUUAAGAGUAAAGAACCUAUGUGAGUGAAAUUUCUUUAUUGACAUAGGUGGUUACUAUGCAUAGUAAAAUGAUGUAGAAGAUUAUUGUUUAUCUGAUCUAAAUGCCACUGAAAAUUUGCUCUCAAUUAAGUCUAGUCUAUCAACAUUACCCUAAAGAACAGAAAUGGUCUAAUUGCUUCCACAGUUCCUGGAGUAGGUACUGUCUAGAAGAUUGUGGGUACCUGUUUCAUUUGUCAUCUUUAGGCUGUCCAACAUUUCCUCUAUUACAGGCAUCAAACCAUCAAUUAUUUAUUUAUUUUUUGGCACCCAAGAGUGCUACCUAGUGGUCAAUGAGGUGGAUUGAGAGCCAUGAGGUCUCAGAUUCAAAUUCCAGCAGAGACAAAUAUACUACUAUGUGAUUUCUUCCCAUCUUUCCAAGUCUUGGUGGAUAGAGUUACUUUGUGUUUGUUGUGGAUGGGAGAUAGCAGGUAUCCCGUGGAAUUAGUCGAGUUGCACAUAAGUUGUCCCGGACACCACGGUUAUAACCAUUCAGUCUUUUAACUUGGUCUAUCAUAGCAUAACUAUAAUUGCUGGUUCAAAGAUUAAUGUAUCUAUCAUAAAAAUUUGCUCCAUAUUGUUUAUUCUAGUGGCUGUGGAAAGCUCUAUAAAUUGCUCAUGAAUUUUAGAUUUGUCUCAUGUAAUCGUUUUGUUUGAAGCUCUAGUAAAAAAACUUGGUUAUACACUUAUGUGCUCCACACAGUUCCUUUCUCUUCUUUCUCAUAAGAUGCUUUAUUGGUGGGUAUUCCAGAAGUCUAGGAGUUAUGCUAUUUGAGUAGGCAAUAAACCAAUUUCUACAGCAUCAUUAUCUUAGUUCAAACAGGCAAUGGAGUUUAGUCAACAAUCUGUAGGAUAAAGAGGAGAUCUAUUAGUCUUAGUCUUGUAUUUUCUUAUUUUUAGAUUUCUAUUACUACAUGUUGUUUCUUUCGUUUCUGCUUUCCUGCAAUCUUUUGAGGAACUGUAUAUACCCUUUGAUACGAUAGCUCAAAGUUGUCCCUUGGAACGAGGAUAGCCUGCUGCUAUAGUUUGGGAAGGAGUAGUUUGGCAUUUAAAAUAUUUACACAUGAAAGUGUAAACUCCAGCCAAUAAUUUUCUAGUAGAAGCAUCACAGGAAAAUUUUGACCUCAGAUGUGCAUAUUCAAAGUUAGUGAUGGGGUUGACCUUGGCAGCAAGAUUAUUUUUUUCUGAAAAGGAACUUCAUUCCAAAUGAACUUGCGAGAAGUACCAAAUAAUCAUUUGAAGAACUUGUUAAGCAUGGGCAUCGCUUGACCAACUACUGAUCUAUACUUAUCAAGGGUGUUAGAAAUCAGCUUAUGCAGGAACACAGACUUGGAUGAUUUAGGUUUAGAAGCUUCUGCUCGGACACUGAUUAGGAUUGUGUGGGGUUGGGGGGAGUAGCAUAGCAUGGGAUAAUUCAUUCAUGUGCUAUUUGCUUUUCUCCUCUUCUUUUAAUGUUUUGAAACUACAGAGAAACAAGGCUAGAGUUUUAUGAGUAGAACAAAGCAACAUAUGUAUUGCAAGUUUAGCAUCCAUCAAAAGAAUGAAUGUGAUCACAUAUUUAGGUUCAGGCUUUAGGACAUAAAGAUUGCAAAACGAUGGUUGAAGUGGAUGUUAUAGCAACAUUAUGUGAUUUAAAGAUACCUAAAUGUACAAGUUAAGAUAGAUUAUUGGUCGUAUAAGAUUGGACAAAACUAGAAAUGAUAUAAAUGGACAACACACUUUGGUGGAUAAAAUAGGAGAAGGGACCCUGUUCUUUUAAUGUUUUGAAACUAGAGAGAAACAAGGCUAGAGUUUUAGGAGUAGAAGAAAGCAACAUAUGUUUUGCACUUUUAGCAUCCAUCAAAAGAAUGAAUGUGAUCAGAUAUUUAGGUUCAGGCUUUAGGAGAAUGGCAUGAUACAUAAAGACAGAACAUAUAUGAUUGAAAAAGGAUGGUUGAAGUGGAUGUUAUGGCAACAUUAUGUGAUUUAAAGAUACCUAACAAAGAGAGGAAGCAUGUCUAUUUUAGAGUAGUGUCAGAGAAAUGUACAAGUUAAGAUUAGAUUAUUGGUUGUAUGAGAUUGGACAAAACUAGAAUUGAUAAUUAGACAACACACUUUGGAGGAUAAAAUUGGAGAAGGGACUAUAAUCUCAACAGUCUAUGUGGACUCGGCUGAAAAAAAGAAUCCAUAUGGCUGAAAUCUAGGCUGAGUUGUUUUUAUGUUUACAUGGUCUGCAUGGGACUAAGUGUUGAGACUUGGAGAUCUUCUGUUUUUUUUAAUCUUCUUCUAGAUUUGGACAAAUCUUAAGUUGCAGCAAAAGACAAAAAUACUUACCAGUCCAAAUAGAACAGAAAAAUAUAGUAUUCGUAUAUUGCUUCCAAUUAAUCUGAGAUUGAUGUGUAGGUUCUUUGAUU